AUACCUUUAUUGGUAGAUUUUCGGUUGAUUGGUCUAAUCCUGGAAUAAAAAGUACUACCAAACGUGGGAUAAGCCAAUCCUGAAUUUAAUCUCGGGAUUAUAAUCCCUUUCCUAAAAAAAACAUCCCUUAUUGUUAUUCUCUAACUAUGAGUGAUUCCUACAUUUUAUUUCCUUCUGAGUUUCUUAGGGUCCUCUUUCUUCAGAACAAUCUGCCUGACCACUGUAAAAGUUGAGGUUAGCUAUAUGCAUUCUGCUCUGUUCAGGUGGUUUUUCCAGUUCUAAAGAGUUGUCCUUUUGAGGCACUAACAAAACAAAUUGUAUUUCAUGGUGGACUUGUUGUCAGCCUUUACUGGAAAGUUGAAAUCUUUGUUAUCAGAAAACUUAAUUAAGGUGAAGAUAUUGUCUUACUGAUGCUCAGGUCGAAGGUUCAUUGCUUGAAAUUCUAGAUAAUAUACUAUUCCUGCGGCUGCUGAAUGAUCGGUUUUUGCUCCUUUGUAAGUUUUUACCAUCUACGUUGCUUCCACCUGCCACUGGGUGGCUGAGUUCUUGGUCUCCUGUUCUGUAAUUAGAGUUCUCGUUUCAUCUGUUCCUGCUAUUUGGUUUCAACAAAAUCAACAUCAACCACAGAAAGAGUUGUGUAUGUGAGAUAUAUGAUGCAAAGAAAAGUAACGGACAGGAGAAGUCCCGAGGAAUUUCAAAUUAUUGGAAGAGCUUGAAAGAGGAGAAAGAGGAAUUGGGGAUGGAACUGUCAACUACAGAAUGGAUGACGCAGAUGAUGUGUACAUGCAAUCAUGGACAGGAACUAUAAUUGGUCCUGCCAACGCAAUGAAAAGAAUCGGGUGGAACAAAGAGGCUUGGUUCUGAGGUGUUGUAUUUUGUAAUUGGAGAAGAACACUGAAGAUGAAAAUGUAUAUAACCUUAUUGCUCAGAUAGUAGCAAAGUUGUCCUAAUAUAUCUGUAAAUAUGUGUAUGGUUUUAUUUGAGAAAGAUGACUGCUUAUUAUGGAAGGGAUUGUUGUUACUUUUCGAACUCUACUGAAUAAUGCCAACUUGUUAUAUAUGAAAAUAAGGGACUAUUUUGUAAC